AAUAUUAGUCAAUGCUCGGAAGAGUGAACUAGCUAACUGAAAUUACAAGAUCCACUGUGUGGUGAAUGUAAUAACGUAAGGGAUAAAAAUGAUAUUACCUUACUAUUAGUGUUGUCCAAAGUUGGUGCCAGAAGACUCGGUAAGGCCAAAAACACAAACGUUAGUCGUCCUAAUCAGGCGUAAAGGGUAUGUAGGCUGCUUUAAAAAUAUUAUAAUUAGCUAAUGUAAAAAUUUAUAUAAAAUUUAUAUAAAAAUUUAAACAUAAUUUAUAAGAUGAAUUAAAGCUAGAAUCAAAUGGAGGAUAAGUCAAAUAAUACCUAGUGUAGGGUUUAAAUCUGUUGAUAUUAGGUAGAGUACUAACGGUGAAAGCUUUUUAUCUAGAAAUGAUUGACGCUGAGAAACGAAGGUGAGAAUAGGAAAUAGGAUUAGAUACCCAGAUACCUCUCACAGUCAACGAUGAAUGGUGGUUGUUAGUUAGUUUUAUCUAACUGAUAAUGAUGUUAACACGAUAACCAUUCCGCCUUGCGAGUACGGUUGCAAAACUGAAACCAAAAAAAUUAGUCGGUCUCGAAGCAAACGAAGUGAAGCAUGUUAUUUAAUU
rnacentral:rRNA from 1 species